GAUUAUUGAGCAGGAGAAGACAGUGACUAAGACAUCCACCCUAGUUGCUGUCCCACUAUCGAGACGUCGGCACUGACUAUAACAAGACUUUCCUCGAGAAGGUGUCGCGUGUUACAGUGGAGGACCUGGCUCGAGUGGGUUUAGAGCACAUCGCACCGCUGUUUGACACUACACGAUCCAAGUGUGUUAUUUGCGUUAAUCCAACACGUGUCCCAGAAGUGCAAAAAGCUUUCAAGAGGUUUAACCGGGACCUAACCAUUCUAAAGACCAUCGAGGAAGGCUUUCUCUGUGAGAUGUAACGCUCCUACUACGUGAUUCAAAGCUCUCUCUAGGAGAUGGAAUGCUUCCUAUGUGUCGUGUCAUGCCUCAUUGUCUGUAGCUUCUUCAUCAUUUUAAUGCCUUUCUCUCUAGUGUGGUGCAAUGUUUAAUCUGUCAAAUAGCAAUCUGCAAUAUACAAGACUCUCAAUGAGAUGUGAGUCUUCAUCUGAAUUGACUGAGGUUCAGUAGUAAUCUAGAAAUUUGGUGGCCAUGUACAGUUCAGCUGCAUUAGUGAAUAAUUAAGAUAGCACCUUGAAAUACAUUAGUAUACUUCCGUAAUAAGUUAGUCAUAAGCUGAGUAUGGACAUCUAGGGGACAGUAUAGUUAAGGACUUGUAUUGCAGAUGCCUAGUUGUGAACAUCUUUUGUUGAUACAUACUAACUGCUAAUGACUAGUCUAUCCCGUGUUAUAUUUAUUAUUUACAGGUUAUUGUAAUCUGAAAUCGAAAUCGAAUGUAAUAAGCAAGGUUAUACAAGUGUAAAAUGGUUUUUGAUCUAUAUAAACUACCAGAAAUUACUGGAAGAAGCAACACAAGUGGAAAUAUUUUGAAGUGAUGAAAAUGGUAUGAGACGUGUCAGGCUCUAACAUGAUGGCAUAUACCGUUUCUUUAUCUGUUAUGAUACCUGAACCUUUCUUAUAAUCAUUUCUCGUGACAAAUCAGCAAAGAUGGCAAAUGCAGUUUGUUCAUGAAACUUCGACAAAUAUAUUGCUACAAAUAGAUAUAUGUAUUGUA